rnacentral:rRNA from 1 species
CCAGACUCCUACGGGAGGCAGCAGUGGGGAAUAUUGCACAAUGGGGGGAACCCUGAUGCAGCGACGCCGCGUGGGUGAAGGAGCACCUCGGUGCGUAAAGCCCUAUCGGCAGGGAAGAAACAGACGGUACCUGACUAAGAAGCCCCGGCUAACUACGUGCCAGCAGCCGCGGUCAUACGUAGGGGGCAAGCGUUAUCCGGAUUCACUGGGUGUAAAGGGAGCGUAGACGGCGACGCGAGUCUGGAGUGAAAGCCCGGGGCCCAACCCCGGGACUGCUCUUGGAACUGCGUGGCUGGAGUGCAGGAGGGGCAGGCGGAAUUCCUGGUGUAGCGGUGAAAUGCGUAGAUAUCAGGAGGAACACCGGUGGCGAAGGCGGCUUACUGGACAGUGACUGACGUUGAGGCUCGAAAGCGUGGGGAGCGAACAGGAUUAGAUACCCGGGUACC